GCCGGCGUAGCUCAGUUGGUAGAGCAGCUGAUUUGUAAUCAGCUGGUCGGGGGUUCAAGUCCUCUCGCCGGCU
rnacentral:tRNA from 1 species